rnacentral:rRNA from 1 species
GAUGAACGCUGGCGGCGUGCCUAAUACAUGCAAGUCGAGCGAACAGACGAGGAGCUUGCUCCUCUGACGUUAGCGGCGGACGGGUGAGUAACACGUGGAUAACCUACCUAUAAGACUGGGAUAACUUCGGGAAACCGGAGCUAAUACCGGAUAAUAUAUUGAACCGCAUGGUUCAAUAGUGAAAGACGGUUUUGCUGUCACUUAUAGAUGGAUCCGCGCCGCAUUAGCUAGUUGGUAAGGUAACGGCUUACCAAGGCGACGAUGCGUAGCCGACCUGAGAGGGUGAUCGGCCACACUGGAACUGAGACACGGUCCAGACUCCUACGGGAGGCAGCAGUAGGGAAUCUUCCGCAAUGGGCGAAAGCCUGACGGAGCAACGCCGCGUGAGUGAUGAAGGUCUUCGAAUCGUAAAACUCUGUUAUUAGGGAAGAACAAAUGUGUAAGUAACUAUGCACGUCUUGACGGUACCUAAUCAGAAAGCCACGGCUAACUACGUG